AGGUCCUGGAUGUUCAUCUGUCGAGUAUGGAUCAACAGUGGAACUAGGACCUCUUAAAGUUAAGAGGAAUGAGAAAGUUAUGCAGUGCUGCUGGCAAACAGUUCUACACCACGAAAUUAGGUAUCUUAAUCCUCUCUCUCUCUCUCUCUCUCUCUCUCUCAUGGUCUGACUCUUUGAAAUUUUGCAUUUGUUUUUAGUCAUUCCACUUUGUAGAUGAAUCAAAGCACUUAUUGAAUGACCAUGUUUUAUUUCUAAUUUAUAGCUAUUAUUUAAAUGCAAGAGGUUAUUUAGAUCAAAAUGAUUUCUUCUUUCA